AAGAGUGAAUGUAACUAGAAUAAGUUUUAUCUUGUGAUUUCCCUUAUAACCCAAAUGUUCUUACCAGCAAAUAUAAUUCAGAAACAAUGGUACCUGACAAAUUUACACAGGCUAAGUGAGACUUGGAGAAAGAGGGAAAAGAUACUGUAAUGAAUAUAUUUAUAAAAUUUCAUAUGAAAUUCAGAUGAUUUUCCUAGGACGUAUUUCUAUACCAAGGAUUAUUGGGUCAAAAGGCACAUAGCUAAACAAUAUUCCUAAGAUUCCUGUACAAUUAGCUGCUGUCAUGAACUGAUGGUGGAAUGAUGAAGGUGGUGAAAUUGAUAUACAUCAUUUCUAGGUCUGGCACAUAAAAACAUCUUAUAUGAUCUUCUAUACACUUGCUCUUUCCUCAUCUACUGACCAAAUAGACAGAACCCUGAGCUCACAGAGAAUAAAAGAGCCACCCAACCUCCUACAGCUGCAUAAGACUGUUGUACAAGCAAGAAAU